rnacentral:rRNA from 1 species
ACGCAUUAAGCGCCCCGCCUGGGGAGUACGAUCGCAAGAUUAAAACUCAAAGGAAUUGACGGGGCCCCGCACAAGCAGCGGAGCAUGCGGCUUAAUUCGACGCAACGCGAAGAACCUUACCAAGGCUUGACAUAUACAGGAAUACGGCAGAGAUGUCGUAGCGGUUAAACGUCUGUAUACAGGUGGUGCAUGGUUGUCGUCAGCUCGUGUCGUGAGAUGUUGGGUUAAGUCCCGCAACGAGCGCAACCCUCGUUCUGUGUUGCCAGCAUUUAGUUGGGGACUCACAGGAGACUGCCGGGGUUAACUCGGAGGAAGGUGGGGAUGACGUCAAAUCAUCAUGCCCCUUAUGUCUUGGGCUGCACGCAUGCUACAAUGGCUGGUACAAAGGGCUGCAAUACUGCAAAGUGGAGCGAAUCCCAAAAAGCCAGUCUCAGUUCGGAUUGGGGUCUGCAACUCGACCCCAUGAAGUCGGAGUUGCUAGUAAUCGUAGAUCAGCAACGCUACGGUGAAUACGUUCCCGGGGCUUGUACACACCGCCCGUCACAUCACGAAAGUCGUAACACCCGAAGUCAGU